UGUGAUUCUGCUCUGCACUUGUAUAGUCUCUAAUAAUUCCUCUGUGUAACGCUUAACAUUCUUCUGCUCCACACUUCACUGCAGUAUGAUCUCUGAUAUUCUUCUAUCUCAAUUCUUCUUCUAUAAGAAUUCUUUUGUAUGAUUUCUUCUUCUGAUCUUUCUUCUCUUUCUUUUCUUAAUUAAUUCAUAAACUGUUAUCAGAAUAGUGUCAAGUUCAUUGAUAUUGCUGUUGAAAUGGAUUGUAUGAACUGCACAGAUGAUAUGAAUGAUUUAAUCUGCAAUAUUAAUAAUAUUGAUUUAAUCAGUGGUAUGUCUGUUACAUUAUGAAUUGAUUCAUCUGUAUCAGCUCAAAUGCUCUGUGUUUAUGAUUGUAUCUAGAUGCUUAAAUUAAGUUUAAAAAUAAGUUAUCCA
rnacentral:sRNA from 1 species